rnacentral:rRNA from 1 species
AUUGAACGCUGGCGGCAUGCUUUACACAUGCAAGUCGAACGGUAACAGGCCUUCGGGUGCUGACGAGUGGCGAACGGGUGAGUAAUGCAUCGGAACGUGCCCAGAGGUGGGGGAUAACGCAGCGAAAGCUGUGCUAAUACCGCAUGUGAUCUGAGGAUGAAAGCGGGGGACCAGGCAGCAAUGUUUGGCCUCGCGCCUUUGGAGCGGCCGAUGUCAGAUUAGGUAGUUGGUGGGGUAAAGGCCUACCAAGCCGACGAUCUGUAGCUGGUCUGAGAGGACGACCAGCCACACUGGGACUGAGACACGGCCCAGACUCCUACGGGCGGCAGCAGUGGGGAAUUUUGGACAAUGGGCGCAAGCCUGAUCCAGCAAUGCCGCGUGCGGGAAGAAGGCCUUCGGGUUGUAAACCGCUUUUGUACGGAACGAAAAGGCUCUGGCUAAUACCUGGGGCUGAUGACGGUACCGUAAGAAUAAGCACCGGCUAACUACGUG